GCGGGUUAAUAGUAAUUGGUAACUAACUGAGUUUCAUAAGCUUAGAUUGUAGGUUCAAAUCCUACACCCGCU
rnacentral:tRNA from 1 species